rnacentral:rRNA from 1 species
AGAGUUUGAUCCUGGCUCAGGAUUAACGCUGGCGGUGUGUAUAAUACAUGCAAGUCGACUGCAUUUAGUUGCAGGGCAGACGGGUGAGUAUCACGUUGGUUAUCUGCCCCGAAGUGAGGGAUAACCCUGAGAAAUCAGGGCUAAUACCGCAUAUGGCCCCCCACCUCUUGUCUAUAUUUCACGAUCAACAUUGGUCGCGACUUAUAUAUAUAGGAGGUGAGGGGUUAAAGCUUUAUGCGCUUCGGGAGGAGCCUGCGCAAUAUCAGCUUGUUGGUGAGGUAAUAGCUCACCAAGGCUAUGACGUUUAACUGGUCUGAGAGGAUGAUCAGUCACAAUGGAACUGAGACACGGUCCAUACUCCUACGGGAGGCAGCAGUAAAGAAUCUUUCGCAAUGGGGGAAACCCUGACGAAGCAACACCGCGUGGUGGACGAAGGCCCUCGGGUCGUAAACACCUUUUCUGGGGGAAGAAGUUCUGACGGUACACUAGGAAUAAGCACCGGCUAAAUACGUGCCAGCAGCCGCGGUAAUACGUAUGGUGCAAGCGUUAUCCGGAAUUAUUGGGCGUAAAGCGUCCGCAGGCGGUUUACUAAGUCUGAUGUAAAAGCCCCAGAGCUCAACUCUGGAAUCGUAUCGGAAACUGGUAAACUAGAGUCACACAGAGGCAAGUGGAAUUCUGUAAGUAGGGGUAAAAUCCGUAGAUCUACAGAGGAACACCAAAAGCGAAGGCAGCUUGCUGGGUGUGUACUGACGCUCAUGGACGAAAGCGUGGGGAGCAAAGGGGAUUAGAUACCCCCGUAGUCCACGCCGUAAACGAUGGAUACUCGGUGUAGGAGGAUUCAACCCCUUCUGUGCCUGAGCUAACGCGUUAAGUAUCCCGCCUGAGUAGUACGGUCGCAAGAUUAAAACUCAAAGGAAUAGACGGGGACCCACACAAGCGGUGGAGCAUGUGGUUUAAUUCGACAAUAAGCGGAGAACCUUACCAGGACUUGACAUCUCGAGAACUCUGUAGAAAUACGGAGGUGCCGUAAGGAACUCGAUGACAGGUGUUGCAUGGUUGUCGUCAGCUCGUGCCUUGAGGUGUUCUGUUAAGUCAGUAAACGAGCGCAACCCUUGCCCUAUGUUGCAUAUUUCAUAGGGGACUGCCGAUUCCAAAUCGGAGGAAGGUAAGGAUGACGUCAAAUCAGCAUGGCCCUUAUGUCCUGGGCUACACACGUGCUACAAUGGUCGAUACAAAGGGUCGCCAAAUCGUAAGAUGGAGCCAAUCCCAUAAAAUCGAUCUAAGUUCGGAUUGAGGGCUGCAACUCGCCCUCAUGAAGUUGGAAUCGCUAGUAAUCGUGAAUCAGCUACGUCACGGUGAAUGUGUUCCUGGGUCUUGUACUCACCGCCCGUCAAGUCAUGGAAGCUGGGGGCACUCGAAGUACCACAANCAAAGUGGUCCUAAGGUGAAANCCAGUGACUGGGACUAAGUCGUAANCAAGGUAACC